UACCUGCAGCUCAAGUGGUGAUCGCUAUUAUUGGGCCUAGAACGUCCGUAGCCGGUCUUAUAAAUGCCUGGGUAAAUCGGGCCGCUCAACGGUUCGAAUUCCGGGUAGACUGUAAGACUUGGGACCGGGAGAGGCUAGAGGUACUCCUGGGGUAGAGGUGAAAUUCUGUAAUCCUGGGGGGACCACCAGUGGCGAAGGCGUCUAGCUAGAACGGGUCUGACGGUGAGGGACGAAGCCCUGGGGCGCAAACCGGAUUAGAUACCCGGGUAGUCCAGGGUGUAAACGCUGCUUGCUUGAUGUUGGUUGGGCUCCGAGCCCAAUCAGUGUCGGAGAGAAGUUGUUAAGCAAGCUGCCUGGGAAGUACGGUCGCAAGACUGGAACUUAAAGGAAUUGGCGGGGGAGCACAGCAACGGGUGGAGCGUGCGGUUU
rnacentral:rRNA from 1 species